UCAUCAUUGUUUUAAUUUGAAAUUUCUUAUUGGCAUAUAAUGUUAAACAUUUUAAAAUAUGAUUAUUAAUAUUCUCUUUUUAAACUUACUUUAAGCUUAUAUAGUUCUUUCCAUGUGGAUUCUGCAUAGUUCAUUGCAGAUUUGGUGGCGGAUAGUUUUUUUUUUUUUUCCCAAAGAAAAUUGCAAUAUAUUCACUGUACCUUGCAACUCUUGCCUUGCCUCCAUCAGGAGGUAAAGUCAAAUUCUCUUCUUCAGUCUGGGUGGGUUUGCAACUCAUUCGCAACCAAAAGAAAGCAAUGGAAGUGAUUCUUCAUGACUUCAGAGGCUAUGCUUUUUAUGACAUAAAAUGCUUUCCAUUUCCAUCCAAUGCUAGGCAAUGAAACAGAUUUCACAUUUUAAAGGUGGAAUGGUCUCUCUUAAGGUCUAUAGUUGCCAUGUAAGAAGGCUGAUUGCAAAUUACCUUGAGGUUGCCAAUUUUGGAGGAAGCCCUGCUGCUCCUGUGCCCUGCUGCUUCAGUUUCAGCCACUAUCUGACCUCAACUUCAAGGGAAGCGCUAAGCCAAAGUCUUUGAGCUGAGACCUUUCUGAGUGCCUGGGCCUAAGACAUUAUAAGAGAUAACCAAAUGAUCAUUGUUUUGGCCAUCAAGUUCCAGGUGAUUCUCAGUGAGGGAUACUGUCCUGUCAAUAUUCAAGUCACCCUUCUACAUAAGCCCUAGACUGCCCAUCAGAGGGACAUGAGAGAGGUAUAAAAUGGGCUGUAACAUGAGAACAAAUAACUACAACAUUGUGCUACAAUCUACAGUAGGAAUUGGAGGAGAAAACAUUUUCUGCCAGAGGAAAGGAGUAGGGAAGGAAGGGGAGCUUCAUGAAGGAUACACUAUUGAGCUGGGAAGGAUUUUCACAGGGUAAGUUUACAGAAAGGAGGUUGGUAUAACAGGCACAUAGAGAUGGGAAGGUGCAGACUAAGUGUUAUUAGCACAAAAUUAGUACCAUCAGAGCUGAAACUUUCCUGGUUUCCCAGGGAACACAAAUAAUCAAGAGGCUGAUUGGUUUUUCAGAUUUUUGAGACUUUAUGGGAGCUUCCCUCACCAUGGCAGCCAGUGCUGCUGCUGUGCAUGUCAACCAAUGUUUUAAUGAAUCUGCACUUAAUAUUCUUUGCAAUAGACUUCCCCUUAAAAUUAUACAGCAAAGCUCAUAUUUCAUAAUAUGUGUAUCAAAAGUGACAUCAUGAAAGAGGAGGAGAAAACCUGCAGUCACCCUGACCACAAACUGGAAAUGCUUUCCCUUUGAGCUUUCACUAUUGACUUUAUUAUGUCCUGAUGGGAUUUUGGCAUUUUCUGAUGUAAGAUACCUUUCCACCUUUCCAUGGGCAUUGAAAAUUUUUCCUAGGUAGAGUUAGCUGUUCUUCUCAAACUAGGCUAAAGGCCUCACUUAGAUCUCUGUCUGUCCUCUGUGUCCAGCAAUGCCAAAGUCACUUCAAUUCUAACCAUCCCAGCUUAGACCACCUAAUCACAGCCCACUUUCUAAGGGACACUAUACAGUUCCCUAAGACAAAAAGGAAACAGACCUUGGAGCUAAAGGGAAUUACUUUGUAGGGAAAAUAAAUGGUAAGUAGCUAUCAAAUUUAGACAUAUGUCCCUUAAACUGGGUACCAAGAAUAGCUCACCCUUAUUGCAUUUCUGUUUCAUUCUUUUUAAGCUCCUCUUAUCAAAUAUGGUUAGAAGACUGAGUAGAGUGGAUUAACUGCAGUGUAUGCUAUGUGUGGAUAAAUUGGAGAAGAUAGGACAUAAAAAGCAAUGUGUGCAAAGUUUUUGAGAGCCUUAAAUGUUAAAUUCAGAAGUCUCAGUUUUACUUAGUAUGUAACAGGGAAUUACCAAAGUUUUUCACAUGGGAAAUUAUAUUAUCAAAGGGAUGUACUACUAGGUCAAUUGAUCUGGAGGCUAAUUAAUUAGCUAUGUUGAAGUUAGGAGGGUGGUGAUUAGAAGUCUUGAGAAGGCAUUCUCAUCAUUAGAUGAGAGACAGCAGUUUUCCAGAAGACAGAUAACAGUGAGAAAGGAGAGGAAAGAUAAAAUAACAUUAAAAAAAACCUAUAGCCUUUUUUCAGGUAUGUCCUUUUCCUUUCUUCUAGGGUACCAGAGUAUUUUAGCAUAUUAGUAUGAUUUUUUUAAGAAUAUGAACAAUAACUUCCAUUUAUUUUAUUACUUCCUAUGCAUAAGAUGAUUUUCAUGUAUUAUCGUUUAUAAUCAGCAUAAACAACUCAUUGAGGUAAGUACCUCCCUAUUAUUCCCUCAUAUUACAGAAUGAGGGAACUGAGACUUAGUUAAGUAACACCCAAAUAUUAUAUGGUAAGUAAAUGUUAGAGCCAGGAUUUGAACCUAAGUCUGUCUAACAUCAAAAUGCACAUGCUUUUCCUAUUAGAGAAAGUUGACCUUUAUGAACAGAGUAUAUUGCAGCUUUCCCUUCCUUUUGUGAAAGAAUUUGAAAUAUUUAUUUGCUUGAAAUAUGGAGCAAACAAAUUGUCUAAGCCUAGGUGGAUGAGUUUCAUUUUCCCAAUAGUCAGGCACAUUUUCUAAUUAUGCAUUGUAUUUGCCAGAUUUUGCACAAAUGGCAAGGCUGUACUUUAUUACAAGUUCAAAUUCUGAGAUACAUCUUUAUGUAGUUGGCUGAAACCAAGAGGCAUACUUAAAUAAUUUAAUUCCAACUGAUUCUUUUGUAAGUAAAGGUUUCUAAUACAAUGUGCCUGCUUAAAUUCAGAUGUUGGUACUAAAAUAAAUUCCGCUGGGACAUUAUCCCUUUAAGCAAAUAUCUAUAGGGUAUUGCCAGCACAAAAAUCCAUUUUAUAGUAUUUUCUAAACAUUAAAAGACAUCCUUUUGAUGAUAAGCAUUAUUUGAAUCAGAAAGCUGAUUUUAAAUGGUCAUGUCUUUCCAUUAGGCAAAUGAUCAUUUUUCUUAUUCAGCUUCAAGUAAAAAAAAAAAAUCAAUCAGAGAAUACAUUUGAAAAUUCUGUUUAAAGGGGUUGGAGAGACUUUAAAUAUAAUGCCCAUGAUAAUUAGAAUGCAGGGUUCCCUGAAUCCUUUAUAAGAAUAUAAUCUUAGUAUUUUAUUUAUUUAUUUAUUUAUUUAUUUUUGUUUUGAGGUCUUAUAACAAAUGCGAGUGCAUUGUCAAUUUUGAAUGACAAUAGGUAUAAAUAGUUCAUAUUUUCUAAUCUUUUAUUAUGGCCACCACUGCCCCUUUUUCCAUAGCUGUGACCCUGGGUUUCCUGUUAACCCAGGAGAAGGCAGAGCCAUUUGACCAGAAGUAUCUUUGCAUAGUUUCUUGGCAUGUGAUGAGCAAUGUACUCUGGGCUAACGAAAUUUCCUUUCUCUACCUGACUGACACAUUUAAUGAAAUCCCAGACUGGCCACCAAUUUCCAUUCUACUUUGUCCUCACAUUACUGUAUAGGACACAUGGAGUCUUUUUCUGAUGCUGUUUAAUCCAGGGGCCAUGACUAAACUUAGCACUAUAUUGCACAUAUUGAAAAUACAAACCUGUUAGAUUUUUACAGACCACUGCAGGAAACUGGAUAUUCUUCACUUUAUCAGUUAUUUUUUGUCUCACUGGGUUAUAUGACUAAUCCCAAGUAAAGGUGCUCCCAGAGCCUAUCAGGCUGCUCUAACCCAAUUAGGAACAAAACAAUAGUAGCAACAAGGAAAAAAAAUACUCGUUUGAGCUCUCAUGUAUGUUUUUUUCAUUUAUUUAUUUAGCUUAUUUUUAUAGAGAGAAUGAUGUGUUGUAGAAACUGUUUUAGGUACUCAGGACACAUCGAUAGAAAUCCUUCCUUAUGAGCUUCCAUUCUAACAGAAGGUGGGGAGGAUUUGAGGGCAAACAAAACAUAAGUGUCAUGAUUUAUAAAAUAGAGGAAUCAAGACUAAAGAGUGUUAGAGAAGUUGCAAUUUAAAAAAUUAUGUUUUUUAAAGAUGACAUCUUACUAUGUUGCCCAGGUUGGACUUAGAGUCCUGGGCUCACCAAUUCUCCCGCCUCAGCCUCCCAAGUAGCUGGGAACAAGUGCACACAAUUGUGCCUGGCUAAAGUUGUAAUUGUAAACAGAUGGUAAGGAUAGGUUUCACCAGAUAGGUAAGAACUGAACAGCGAUUCCAAGUAGAUGGAGAAGGAGGUCAUGUGAACAUUUGAGGCAAGAGCAGCAGAAAAAGCCAGUUCCCAGCAUCUGAAGCAGGAGCAUGCCCUUGUGUGUUUGAAAAAUAGUAUGCGGAUGAGGGUGGCUGUAGAAAGGUGAGCAAAGCGGGGACGAGUAGGAGGUAAGGUACAAGAGAUACAGAAGAGAAGAGCAAGUGGGAUCUUGUCAUCAUGUUUACAGCUGCAUUCAGCCUUUAUCCUAAGUGAAAUGGGAUUCACUGCAGGGUUCUGGCAAAACAGUAAUAAGAUCUGGUGCAUAUUUUAAAAUAAAUGCUCUUGAUACUGAUAGAAGAAGUGACUUGAAACAGGAACACUAGGCCGGGCGCGGUGGCUCAAGCCUGUAAUCCCAGCACU